CCUGGCCUAGGCUGGGCUUCCUGUUAACAGGAUGCAGGUUCACACCACAGGUUCACAUUGCAGCUGGCUCCACCCCUGACCCAAAGGGACAUAGAUUCCUCUUUGGUGGGCACUCUGGAACUCCUUGGACUCAUUUGCAAGAGGACUCAGUCCAUUGUUUCUGGGUCAGAACAUCAUGACAAUCACUGGAGAAGGAGGAUGACCAGUCACACCAUGGCUGAUCAGAAAGCAGAGAAUAGAACUGCAGGAAGAGAACAGGGUAAGGUAACCCCCCUACUCAGACAUCCCUCCAGGACUCUACUUCCAUCAAAUAGGUCUACCUCCUACCUAUAAACACCUCUCAAUAG
rnacentral:lncRNA from 1 species